rnacentral:rRNA from 1 species
GAUGAACGCUGGCGGCGUGCCUAAUACAUGCAAGUCGAGCGAACAGACGAGGAGCUUGCUCCUCUGACGUUAGCGGCGGACGGGUGAGUAACACGUGUAUAACCUACCUAUAAGACUAGGAUAACUUCGGGAAACCUGAGCUAAUACCGGAUAAUAUAUUGAACCGCAUGGUUCAUUAGUGAAAGACGGUUUUGCUGUCACUUAUAGAUGGAUCCGCGCCGCAUUAGCUAGUUGGUAAGGUAACGGCUUACCAAGGCAACGAUGCGUAGCCGACCUGAGAGGGUGAUCGGCCACACUGGAACUGAGACACGGUCCAGACUCCUACGGGAGGCAGCAGUAGGGAAUCUUCCGCAAUGGGCGAAAGCCUGACGGAGCAACGCCGCGUGAGUGAUGAAGGUCUUCGGAUCGUAAAACUCUGUUAGUAGGGAAGAACAAAUGUGUAAUUAACUAUGCACGUCUUGACGGUACCUAAUCAGAAAGCCACGGCUAACUACGUG